AGAUUGAACGCUGGCGGCAUGCCUAACACAUGCAAGUCGAACGGGAGUAGCAAUACUCUAGUGGCGGACGGGUGAGGAAUACGUAGGAAUUUGCCCUUAAGUGGGGGAUAACCCGGGGAAACCCGGAUUAAUACCGCAUGACCUCGAAAGAGCAAAGUGGGGGAUCGCAAGACCUCACGCUUUUGGAGAAGCCUACGUCGGAUUAGCUAGUUGGUGAGGUAAUGGCUCACCAAGGCGACGAUCCGUAACUGGUCUGAGAGGAUGAUCAGUCACACCGGAACUGAGACACGGUCCGGACUCCUACGGGAGGCAGCAGUGGGGAAUAUUGGACAAGUGGGCGCAAGCCUGAUCCAGCAAUGCCGCGUGUGUGAAGAAGGCCUUCGGGUUGUAAGACACUUAAGUUAGGUAAAGAAAAACGUACGACGUACUAACAACAAGUGAGUAUUGUACGGUACCGGAAC
rnacentral:rRNA from 1 species